UUGUUUUGGUUUUUGUUUCAGUUUUUGUUUCCAUGGGCCAUUCCAGCACUUUCAGUUUAUGUUCUCUUUCAGAAAUUGACAAAACAGAAGAGGUUGUUGAUGAAAUGGAUGGCCUGGUUCAAGUCAGCUUUAUUAAAGUGUAACUCGAGAAACAGACUGAACCUUCUUCUGCCAAGGAAUCUGCCCUGCCCAGGCUUCAUCCUGGAGAAAAGAGGAGUUGUCACUGAAGGUUAUAAGCAACGGUGUCUGGAUGACUUACAACUUCUUACAGGUGAUAAAAAGAGAGCUGUCUGAGGACGGUGAAGGAGAUUACUGAGUGACUCCACAGAUAUGGGGCUAGUUGUGAAGGAAAAUGAUUCACUGGUGUCUGUGUGUGCAGACAAAAAGCCUCUUAAACAGAAGAGUCCAGAGAAAUAUAGUGGGAGGAGAAAUUACAGUGAAGAUUUUGUCAUCUUCAGAAAUAAUUGAUGUAGUUUCAGAUCUAUUAUUCACUAUUUGGUUGUAUCCAUACCUGGUAUUGAAAUAAAAACAUGACUCUUCAGUUGUGGUUGGA